AUGGGGGUUUGCUGUAACCCUCCCUUUGUUGAGCUUCCCUUUGCUUUGGGCACAGGACUUCAAAGAGCAAAUCAUCCACCACGUUGCCACCAUCAUCCUCAUCAGCUUCUCCUGGUUUGCCAACUACGUCCGUGCCGGGACUCUCAUCAUGGCCCUGCACGACUCCUCGGAUUACCUGCUGGAGUCUGCCAAAAUGUUCAACUACGCCGGGUGGAGGAACACCUGCAACAACAUCUUCAUCGUCUUCGCCGCCGUCUUCAUCAUCACCCGCCUGGUCAUCCUCCCCUUCUGGAUCAUGCACUGCACGAUGGUUUAUCCGCUGGAUCUCUACCCUGCUUUCUUUGGUUACUACUUCUUCAACUUCAUGAUGGUGGUGCUGCAGUCGCUGCACAUCUUCUGGGCCUACCUCAUCAUCCGCAUGGCCCAGAAGUUCAUAACUGGAAAGGUGAGAGGGGGCUUGGGGAUGUCAUGGAGAAGGAAAGACCCCCAGAUCCUGAAUCCCAACUGCCUUUGGCUCCCCAGAUCUGCUGUGGGG
rnacentral:lncRNA from 1 species